rnacentral:rRNA from 1 species
UACGUAGGGACCUAGCGUUGUCUGGAAUCAUUGGGCGUAAAGCGCGCGUAGGCGGCCCGGUAAGUCCGUUGUAAAAGUCGAAGGCUCAACCUUCGAAAGCCGAUGGAUACUGCCGGGCUAGAGUACGGAAGAGGCGAGUAGAAUUCCUGGUGUAGCGGUGGAAUGCGCAGAUAUCAGGAGGAAUACCCAUAGCGAAGGCAGCUCGCUGGGACGUUACUGACGCUGAGGCGCGAAAGCGUGGGGAGCGAACAGG